rnacentral:rRNA from 1 species
UACGUAGGUGGCAAGCGUUGCCCGGAUUACUGGGCGUAAAGAGCGCGCAGGCGGCCAAGUCAGUCGAAUGUGAAAGCCCCCGGCUUAACUGGGGAGGGUCAUUCGAUACUGCUCGGCUCGAAGACAGGAGAGGGAAGCGGAAUUCCCGGUGUAGUGGUGAAAUGCGUAGAUAUCGGGAGGAACACCAGUGGCGAAGGCGGCUUUCUGGCCUGUUCUUGACGCUGAGGCGCGAAAGCUAGGGAGCAAACGGG